AAAAAUUGGCCAUUCGCACGGCGAGGGACAUGACUCUACAUGUUGCAGAAUCCCAAGAACUCGGGCAUGUGUUGUUAUUAAUUCCCAUGCUGUAAAUUUAGCCAUUCCCUAGGACCAUGCGCGACAGCCUGCAGAUCAAAGACCAUGCGCGACCACUUCGCCAAAGCCUGAAAUUCGACGCAUAAGCAUUUCUUCGAUGAUCUUCAAGAAAAGUUAGAAUCAGCGUGCCAAUCUGACUCCCUCCUUUCUCAAAGCCUGUUGAUUUCAAUACCGAGACUUUGCUCGAUCGCUGAAGCUGCUUGGGAAAGGUAACUUUGGUCUGUCAUUGGCCUUGAAUCUCUGUUCAUUCACCAUGUGAAUGAAUAUAAAAUUGCAGCAUGCCCUCUGCAAUCGAGGCAAAUGUUCCCUCAUUUAUUUCCCAGGAGCAUGCGUGCCUUGUGCUGUCUCGAUCGCUGAAGCUGCCAUGUGAUUGCAGCGUGCCCUCUGCAAACGAGGCAUAUGUUCCCUCAUAAAUUUCCAAAACAUGCGCGCCUUGAUGCUGUCUCGAUCUCUGAAGCUGCUUGGGAUGAAGGACAGCUUUGUUGACAUUGGCCUUGAGUCUCACAUUUUUCACCAUGCGAAGGAGUAUUAAAUUGCAGCAUGCCCUCUGCUAACUUGAAUUUCGCAUGAGCAUGCGCGAGUUGAUGCUGUCCUCAUAUCACGCGGAGUAUCGAUCCUCGAUGUUGCUUCUGUCCAGAAGUACCAUCUGUUUCCCAUGAAGUUAUCUCUUUCAUGUUUAGGUAAAUUCCAGAUUUCCAUAACAUGCUGUUGGAUGCACCAUGUUACACCUAAUCCUUUAUUGCUCAAAAUAUUUUGUGUCGCUUGUAGUCGACAGAAGAAAAUUAUCCACAAAGUAAGUUCAAGCUCGUCCCUGCAAAAAAGGAAAAUAAAUGUUAGUUGAAAAUUAUCCCCAUGUUAUCC
rnacentral:lncRNA from 1 species